rnacentral:rRNA from 1 species
GAUCAUGGCUCAGAACGAACGCUGGCGGCAGGCCUAACACAUGCAAGUCGAGCGAACCCUUCGGGGUUAGCGGCGGACGGGUUAGUAACGCGUGGGAAUAUACCCUUUGGUACGGAAUAGCCUCGGGAAACUGAGAGUAAUACCGUAUGUGCCCUUCGGGGGAAAGAUUUAUCGCCAAAGGAUUAGCCCGCGUUGGAUUAGAUAGUUGGUGGGGUAAUGGCCUACCAAGUCUACGAUCCAUAGCUGGUUUGAGAGGAUGAUCAGCAACACUGGGACUGAGACACGGCCCAGACUCCUACGGGAGGCAGCAGUGGGGAAUCUUAGACAAUGGGCGCAAGCCUGAUCUAGCCAUGCCGCGUGGACGAUGAAGGCCUUAGGGUUGUAAAGUCCUUUCAGAUGGGAAGAUAAUGACGGUACCAUCUGAAGAAGCCCCGGCUAACUCCGUG